AUGAAAGCAGAGGCUUUAAUACCAGCCAGGCGCCCCCAAGCUAUUGCUCAUUUAAUGAGGUCAGCUAAAGAAAGAGCGCCUCAGGAUCCUUGAGAUGAUAAUUCUCACACCCAGAAGAUCAGAUCAAGGGAGGUAGCUCUGAAGAACAAACUUCACGUUACUUAAAUGAACUACAACAGCUUGCCACCUUAGGAAAAGGUAGAUAUGAAAGAGUAUACAAGAUCAGGAAUAAAUUAGAUGGUCAGUGUUUUGCAAUUAAAAAUUUACAAUUAAAAAAAUCCUGAUUAAGGGUGCAACUAAACAGAUUGCUUGGAGGUACUAUGGUGAGUGAAGGUACUGGCAGGUCUUCGGUAUCCUAAUUGUAGGGCCAUCAUAAUGCUUGGAUAGAACACGUUCCUGUGGCCCGAAUGCAAGGUAGAAUUUCUAUUCAGUUGCCAUCUGUGGAAGUGAGGUUGGAACCAGGAGGAUGACAAAAAUCAGUAUGAUGUUAAAAAUGAUUAAAGUAACAGCUCAUCCACUAUCCUCACCAAGUUCACCCUAGAAAAAGAAAAAUCCUUAGAAGAAUCUGGCAUUGAAAAUCAGACUAACAGACUGAUGAACUACAUCACCAAUUUAGUCACAAAAGAUGCCAGUGAAUUUGAAUCAUUCCUUUUACUCCAAGAAAAUGGCUUGGCUGAUUUGUCUUCCAGAUUGUUGAACAUCAGCGGCCACUUAGGCAUGAUUGCGACUUUGAAGAGAAUUUCACAUCCAUCGAGGAAUCUUCUGAAGAAAACUUAAAACUUGUUGGGGCAGACAUCAUCUCAUGGAGUGUCACCUGAUGUUGCACAUCCAGAUCCAGCUGUGGGACUCUCUCUGUGAGACUGGAUAGCUGAGAGAAACAAGCAGGGCCAGGAGUGUGGGGGCUAAUCUGCAUGUCCUUAUGUUAUGGCCAGUGUUGCAAUAAAAAUCUUUCAAGAAUUGGAGGAAGGUGUAUUUUACAUUCAUAACAUGAGAAUAGUACACAUAUAUCUGAAGCCCAGAAAUAUUUUCCUCAUGGCCCUGAUCAGCAAGUAAAAAUAGGAGACUGGUCUGGCCUGCACAGACAUCAUACAGAAGAACACAGACUGGAUCAAUAGACAUGGCAAGAGAACACCAACACAUACUUCCAGAGUAGGUACUUGUCUGUACCCUUAAACUGAAGAGUUAGAAGGAUCUGAGUGUGACGCCAUAUCAGAUAUGUAUAGCUUGGGUGUGAUCCUACUAGAGCUCUUUCAGCCGUUUGGAACAGAAAUACAGCAAGUACAAGUUUUAACAGGUUUAAGAACUGGUCAGAUACUUGAAUCCCUCAGUAAAACACAAGCCAAGUGUAUCCAGCACUUAACCAGAAAGAAUGCAACUCAGAGACUGUCUGCUCUGUUCAGCUGCUGUAAAGUGAACUUUUCCAAAACUCUGGAAAUGUUAAUCUCACCCUACAAAGAUACUAGAACAAGAAAAAGAAACUGAAGAAACAGCUAAGCCUCCUUUCUCAGGACAAAAGGGUUAAAUAUGAAAUGGAAGAUAGGAAUGUGCCUUUCUAG